GCAUUGGUGGUUCAGUGGUAGAAUUCUCGC
rnacentral:piRNA from 12 species